AAAUAAGUGCCUGGUUGUGCUCUACCCAAGGAAACUUCACAUCAAAGCCUGGAUGUUCCAUUUUAAAGAAUAUAUGAAAAUUACUAGGGCGUGUCAUUUCUCUCAAGCAAGAAAAAAUUAAUUUUCAGCUAUAACAGAAAGUCAUAAUGCUACUCUAUAACAAUCAAAUGGAGUAAACAAUGAUUGCAAGACAAUGACUGAAGGGUGAAUGAUAUAUCUUCCAUGGAAAAACAGAUGUGCUCAAAGGAGAGAUGUCUUAAUGGAAAAGCAUGACUGAAGCAUAAAUGGAAACUUUCCUCAAAGAAGAGAUCUGGAAAGGUUAUGGUCAUCACUAAACUUACAGAAAACCAAAAAGAAAAUAAUACGAAGGAGGCACAGACAAAGAAGAGUUUAGAUGCAUAUUUUAAACUACCAAACUGGUUUAAAAUAACUUAUGAUGAAAGGGUCACUUAAGAAGGGCACUGCUUAAAAUUUAAGCAGGCAGUAAUGGAAAGCGACAGACCUCAAACAAUUUAAGCCUUUCACAGUUGAGUGAAUUCACAGUGACAGCAAGAUGAGAAUGUGCUAACUUACCUCUGCAGGACCUUGGCUAUGGCUUCAUAGCCUCUCCCCAGACUGAGAUCAUCAUCCAGGUCUGUGGAGAUUUUACAGUAAGUGUCAAGGACCUAUCAGGAAGAGAAAUACAUAUUGAACAUAUAGCACAGCCAGAUACGCUGAUGUUUCAUUUCAUAACAGAAAAAAAUAAAAUUAAUAGUUGGUUUUAAUGUCUCUAUAAAAAAUUUUGUUGAUUAAAAAUUCAUGUUGGUUUGGUUUAUUUUUAUCUAUAGUAUAACUUGUUUUGUGGCAAUCUCUUUAAGCCAUGACAGUGACGCCUUACUUUUGGAAAAAAUAAUUCUUUUCUUGCAUAAUUGCCCAAAUCUUCCAAUUUAUAUAACUUAGGUGUGAAUAAAUAAUUUAAUGGUUUUUACAUUAUUUUAAAAUACGGGAUUAUUAUCUAACGUAAUAUAAGGCAGAUUAUAAUAUUCUACUAUGAUAGCUUAAAUAUCACUUUUCUUUCUAAAAAUAGCUAUUUGAAAAGCAUGAAUUUAGGUGCCAGGCAAUUUCUAAAUCUAUCAUUUUAUUAGAUGCAUAGCUCACCGUUUGUGCAUGUAUACAGUUUACACUAAAAAUAUUUCUUACAAAUGUAUUUCAUUACCAACAAUCUCUUCAAUAAUCAAAAGAUUACAGCUGCCACAGCCAAACAUGUGAUCUUAAUUUAAUUUAACACUGACAUCAUCUGUAUGGUAUAAUUUUCCCUUUUCCCUCUUUCAAUGGCCCGAAGGAGAAAAAUACAUAAAACAGAAUCCCCAUUCUUCCUUUUUCCUUCAUUAUUACUUGACCCAACCUAUUACACACAUGAGGACACAGGAAAUCUCCAAAGACCUCUAUGGAAAUCCUUUUUGCACAUUUUCUAAGAAAGAAUUAGCAAAAGUCAUUUGACGGCAUUUGGAAGACAGAGUCAGUGUGAGGGACGACAUAAAAACACCUUGUCUGCUACUGCCUGAAUCAGGCAGCCUAGAAGGUUUAAGUCUGAGCGGCAGGGUUGAUAUUUUAUUUGCUUCCUUAGUGUCAAUAUUUGGGAAAUAAUUUCAAUGAGGCUAUUGCGACACUUCAAAAAAUUUGAGUUUCAUAUGGUUUGCAAGUGACUGCUUGACAUAAUACUGUUGUUAAAACUUAUGGCUAUAUACUGACCCAGGGUUUUAAUUCCUGCUAAAAACCACAAAGUUAAAAAUUUUGGGGUAUUUUGUACUUUAAAAAUGUAUUUAUUCUUAACUAAUAAAUAA
rnacentral:lncRNA from 1 species